rnacentral:rRNA from 1 species
GAUGAACGCUGGCUACAGGCUUAACACAUGCAAGUCGAGGGGAAACGACGGGGAAGCUUGCUUCCCCGGGCGUCGACCGGCGCACGGGUGAGUAACGCGUAUCCAACCUGCCUCUGACUGAGGGAUAACCCGUCGAAAGUCGGCCUAAUACCUCAUGGCAUCGUCUGCGGGCAUCCAACGACGAUUAAAGAUUUCAUCGGUCAGAGAUGGGGAUGCGUCUGAUUAGCUUGUUGGCGGGGUAACGGCCCACCAAGGCGACGAUCAGUAGGGGUUCUGAGAGGAAGGUCCCCCACAUUGGAACUGAGACACGGUCCAAACUCCUACGGGAGGCAGCAGUGAGGAAGAUUGGUCAAUGGGCGAGAGCCUGAACCAGCCAAGUAGCGUGCAGGAUGACGGCCCUAUGGGUUGUAAACUGCUUUUAUGCGGGGAUAAAGUGAGGGACGUGUCCUUCAUUGCAGGUACCGCAUGAAUAAGGACCGGCUAAUUCCGUG